rnacentral:rRNA from 1 species
GAACUGAGAGGUUGAUCGGCCACAUUGGGACUGAGACACGGCCCAAACUCCUACGGGAGGCAGCAGUAGGGAAUCUUCCACAAUGGGCGAAAGCCUGAUGGAGCAACGCCGCGUGGGUGAAGAAGGUCUUCGGAUCGUAAAACCCUGUUGUUAGAGAAGAAAGUGCGUGAGAGUAACUGUUCACGUUUCGACGGUAUCUAACCAGAAAGCCACGGCUAACUACGUGCCAGCAGCCGCGGUAAUACGUAGGUGGCAAGCGUUAUCCGGAUUUAUUGGGCGUAAAGGGAACGCAGGCGGUCUUUUAAGUCUGAUGUGAAAGCCUUCGGCUUAACCGGAGUAGUGCAUUGGAAACUGGGAGACUUGAGUGCAGAAGAGGAGAGUGGAACUCCAUGUGUAGCGGUGAAAUGCGUAGAUAUAUGGAAGAACACCAGUGGCGAAAGCGGCUCUCUGGUCUGUAACUGACGCUGAGGUUCGAAAGCGUGGGUAGCAAACAGGAUUAGAUACCCUGGUAGUCCACGCCGUAAACGAUGAAUGCUAAGUGUUGGAGGGUUUCCGCCCUUCAGUGCU